CGGGGAUAGCCUUUCGAAAGAAAGAUUAAUACCCGAUGGCAUAGUUCUUCCGCAUGGUGGAACUAUUAAAGAAUUUCGGUCAUCGAUGGGGAUGCGUUCCAUUAGGUUGUUGGCGGGGUAACGGCCCACCAAGCCUUCGAUGGAUAGGGGUUCUGAGAGGAAGGUCCCCCACAUUGGAACUGAGACACGGUCCAAACUCCUACGGGAGGCAGCAUG
rnacentral:rRNA from 1 species